rnacentral:rRNA from 1 species
UAGUCCACGCCGUAAACGAUGCGCACUAGGUAUGGGAGGCUCUGACGCCGAUCGUGCCGAAGCAAAAGUGUUAAGUGCGCCGCCUGGGGAGUACGGCCGCAAGGCUAAAACUCAAAGGAAUUGACGGGGGCUCACACAAGCGGUGGAGCAUGUGGAUUAAUUCGAAGCAACGCGAAGAACCUUACCUGGGUUUGACAUGUUUGGAUGCCCUUUUGGAAACAAGAGUAGGCUGCCUUCGGGUGAAACUUACACAGGUGCUGCAUGGCUGUCGUCAGCUCGUGCUGUGAAGUGUCAGGUUAAGUCCUUUAACGAGCGAAACCCCUAUCGUUAGUUGCCAGCGGGUCAUGCCGGGAACUCUAGCGAGACUGCCGGUGUCAAACCGGAGGAAGGCGGGGACGACGUCAAGUCAUCAUGGCCUUUAUGCCCAGGGAUUCGCACGUGCUACAAUGGUUCGUACAGAGCGACGCGAUAUCGUGAGAUGGAGCAAAAUCGCAGAAAGCGAG